rnacentral:rRNA from 1 species
GACGAACGCUGGCGGCGUGCCUAAUACAUGCGAGUAGAACGCUGAAGAGAGGAGCUUGCUCUUCUUGGAUGAGUUGCGAACGGGUGAGUAACGCGUAGGUAACCUGCCUUGUAGCGGGGGAUAACUAUUGGAAACGAUAGCUAAUACCGCAUAACAAUGGAUGACACAUGUCAUUUAUUUGAAAGGGGCAAUUGCUCCACUACAAGAUGGACCUGCGUUGUAUUAGCUAGUAGGUGAGGUAAUGGCUCACCUAGGCGACGAUACAUAGCCGACCUGAGAGGGUGAUCGGCCACACUGGGACUGGGACACGGCCCAGACUCCUACGGGAGGCAGCAGUAGGGAAUCUUCGGCAAUGGGGGCAACCCUGACCGAGCAACGCCGCGUGAGUGAAGAAGGUUUUCGGAUCGUAAAGCUCUGUUGUAAGUCAAGAACGGGUGUGAGAGUGGAAAGUUCACACUGUGACGGUAGCUUAACAGAAAGGGACGGCUAACUACGUG